GCCACGUGCCCCGCUACGCAACGUGGUCCAGCUACGCCACAGGCCCCCACUACGCCAGUUGAUCCAGUAACUUUACUUCGAUUACUAAAUUCAAGCAUUAUACUUCGAUAAAAGCAACUCUUUCUAUUAGGCUAUCAUCAUUACCGUAACAUUCCAACAGACUAUAGCCAAAGUUAGCUGACGUUACAGAGUAUUUCGGAAUCAUUUCACUACCGUUUUGGAACUGACUUACCUCCAAAGAAAAGCAAUUUGGCUGCAAUAGGCUUCGCCUCUUGUUGUCGCCGUUGUGUAGGCCAAAUUACCUCUAUCCAGCCCUGCUCCGACUCGAGGUCUUCCCUGCAGUUAACCGUUAUUUUUUUUAUUUCUGUAUGCAUCACGUAUGACGGAUGUAUUAUCUGCUCUAACGGAGCCGUCUUGGAAAUAAAACAAACCAAACACUGUCAUUGUUUGACCCGGAGAUAUUAGGUGCUCACUGCUCAAUUUCAAAUGGAACACUAACCGUCCGCGCCAAGUGUAUUUGAGUAAACCACCAAUUGGCGACCUAAAUACUACAUUCUCAUUGGACGUCGAUUUGCAGCCGCACACUGAUUGGAUGGCCGUUAUAAACUUGCUAUUUUCAAAUUUUGGUUAUAGCCUUGGAUUUUCUUUAAUAGUUAGUCGUUGGAGCUAGUAAAAGUAGCCAUUUCAGUAUUAUUUAUCUGUAUUUUUUUGAUUAAUUCAACACUUUGGUUGUGAUGAUGUAUGAAUAUACUUAAAUAAACUUCUAAUGAAGUGAAAUUAAAGUAUACUAAAAAUGAAGCAUGUUAAUAGUGUAUUACUAAGUGUACUUUUCAGAAUCACACUGAAUGACAACUAUAAGUUUUUGCAAUUUAGUAUACUUUUUCUAAGUGCACUGAAAUACAGCUUAAAAUUAACUUGCAUUAAAGUGAACUGUAAGGAAGUAUACUUAAAUACACUACUAAUAAAGGGAAAUUUAAGUAUACUUUGAUAAAGCAUUUUAAUAGUGUAUUACAAAGGACUUGAAAUGAAGUGUACUUUUCAGAAGUACACUAAAGUACAAAUUACAAUACACUUACAAUAAAGUACACUUUUUAUAAAUACACUAAAUUACCACUAUAAGUAUUUGCAAUUUAGUAUACUUUUUCUAAGUACACUUAUGUACAAUUUA
ensembl:lncRNA